UCUGGUCAGUCUAGGUCCCCUACCCAUCUCUAUGUGUGUUGUGAGGUGCUCUGCCCUACCCCACGCUGAGGGAGUGACCUUAGUUAUCCAGAGACUAGGGAAAGAAUGCCAGGAAGCGGGACAACACCUACCUACUACCUGGACUGCAAAAAGAGGGUGCUCAUGCUAUUUUAAAUGAAAGAAAUCUCUAGGACAGAGGCAUGAAAAUGGAGUGUGACCUCAGGCAGCACUGGCGAGGGUGAAGAGAAAGCUCGCAAUAAAAUCAUCUCAUCAGAGGCCACACAGCCAAGACGCUCCUAUUGAACUUUCCUGCCAAGCAGAAGCAAGAUUCCAUGUCCUCUCAUGGCCUAGACCGCUCUAAGCCACCUGCCACAGCUCCGGAAAUGAACAUAGAGAAAGAAGCCUAGAGCUGGUGGUGCGUCCUGGACCCUGAGACGUGGGGCAUAAGCAGCAGAGCCCACUGGCCCCAGGAACCCGGGACCCUGCUGUUUGUGCACUGAGCCCCGCCCAGUGUCAGGGCACCUCCAAAAUGCCAGGCACUGAGUGUCAUUCCUCAGCUGCUCGGGACAUCCUUCCU
rnacentral:sRNA from 1 species